rnacentral:rRNA from 1 species
UACGGGGGGGGUAAGCGUUGUUCGGAAUUACUGGGCGUAAAGGGCGCGUAGGCGGCCUGCUAAGUCGAACGUGAAAUCCCCGGGCUCAACCCGGGAACUGCGUCCGAUACUGGCAGGCUUGAAUUCGGGAGAGGGAUGUGGAAUUCCAGGUGUAGCGGUGAAAUGCGUAGAUAUCUGGAGGAAUACCGGUGGCGAAGGCGGCAUCCUGGACCAUAACUGACGCUGAGGCGCGAAAGCUAGGGGAGCAAACGGG